GAGUUUGAUCCUGGCUCAGAUUGAACGCUGGCGGCAGGCCUAACACACGCAAGUCGAACGGUAACAGAAAGCAGCUUGCUGCUUUGCUGACGAGUGGCGGACGGGUGAGUAAUGUCUGGGAAACUGCCUGAUGGAGGGGGAUAACUACUGGAAACGGUAGCUAAUACCGCAUAACGUCGCAAGACCAAAGAGGGGGACCUUCGGGCCUCUUGCCAUCGGAUGUGCCCAGAUGGGAUUAGCUUGUUGGUGGGGUAACGGCUCACCAAGGCGACGAUCUCUAGCUGGUCUGAGAGGAUGACCAGCCACACUGGAACUGAGACACGGUCCAGACUCCUACGGGAGGCAGCAGUGGGGAAUAUUGCACAAUGGGCGCAAGCCUGAUGCAGCCAUGCCGCGUGUAUGAAGAAGGCCUUCGGGUUGUAAAGUACUUUCAGCGGGGAGGAAGGGAGUAAAGUUAAUACCUUUGCUCAUUGACGUUACCCGCA
rnacentral:rRNA from 1 species